rnacentral:rRNA from 1 species
CUGAAUUAUUCACCCAUGUCUUUUGCGCACUUCUUGUUUCCUGGGCGGGUUCGCCCGCCACCAGGACCAAACCAUAAACCUUUUUGUAAUUGCAAUCAGCGUCAGUAAACAAUGUAAUUAUUACAACUUUCAACAACGGAUCUCUUGGUUCUGGCAUCGAUGAAGAACGCAGCGAAAUGCGAUACGUAGUGUGAAUUGCAGAAUUCAGUGAAUCAUCGAAUCUUUGAACGCACAUUGCGCCCUUUGGUAUUCCAAAGGGCAUGCCUGUUCGAGCGUCAUUUGUACCCUCAAGCUUUGCUUGGUGUUGGGCGUCUUGUCUCUCACGAGACUCGCCUUAAAAUCAUUGGCAGCCGACCUACUGGUUUCGGAGCGCAGCACAAUUCUUGCACUUUGAAUCAGCCUUGGUUGAGCAUCCAUCAAGACCCUAUUUUUUUUAACUUUUGACCUCGGAUCAGGUAGGGAUACCC